rnacentral:lncRNA from 1 species
GUAACAUACCAGAUUUUGGUAUAAAAAUAAAAAUAAAUAAAAAUAGUGUGAGAAACUAUUUUUAUUGGAUUUGUAGAAGUAAAACAUAAGUCAAAAGUGACUUAUGCUGAAAUCGGAAUGAAAACAGAAGAUCUAGAAUUUUCUGUUGGAAACGGGACAGAUAAAUUAGCAGAAAAUGCACAGUCUCAGAAAAUUAUGAAAAUUGGCAGAGAUGUCAGAAAUAUUUUUAUGAGGCUAGAUUUAAGGUUUCAUAUUUUUCUGACACCCGUAGAGUGAGAAAUAAAAUCCGACAGUUAUCUGUUAAAGAUUACAGUUCGGUACAGUUUUCAGUGACCAAACGGGGUCGAAACUGAACCAGCGAUCGUCAGCUUGUUAAGUUAAGUAAAACCGAACAUGACUGUCAAGUUUGAGCUCAAACGGACAUUCAGGGAGCUCCGGCGAAAGUUAUCAGAUUUUAAGUUGCCUGGAUGAAUAGUGUUUUGAGGUGUUGACUAUAUAAGAAGACUUCAUGUCUUCUUCUUCUCCUUCAGCCGACCACCCCACACCACCAUCACCCGCACGCAUGGAGAGGGGAGAGUAACCCUCCUUCCUCUCUCUAGAUAUCUCUCUCAUCUCUCUAAAUCUCUCUCUAAAAAUUGGAGGGUUGGUGGAGAAGAUGCUUACGAACGCGUUGGGAGCGACGGAUCGGGCUUUCGUGCGGCCGUUGGAGCGGUGUGUGGUCGUCGCGGCGUUCACUUUGAGGUAAGCUUUUAGGAUUUGGCUUAAUCCUUAAUUCUAAGUGUUCUAAUAGCCUCUAAUGAGCAUUCUAAACAUGUUUGCUCCAUUUAAUUUGGAUUAUUUGGAGAUUAAUUCAUGUUAGGCUUAGAAAAUGGGGUUUUGUAGAAUAUGAGGGUUUGAUCUCAUUUGACCCUCCGUAAACCAAAUUGCUAGGUAAACGAACGCGUUGGCGAAGACGGUUCGGCAAUCCGACGAGCCGUUAAAAAGUUAUUAAAGAAAUGGAUGUUUAGGCUUCGGGUCCGCCGGGAGGGCCGAGGCGAUAUCGUAAAUUCAUGAAAACGGAUUUGAAGCAUCGUACCAAGAAACCGAAGACCUUUAAUUUUCAGAUUGCGGAUCGGAGGUCGUUUGGUGGUCGCGCGCGGAUUGGGUCAAGCCGAGCGGCGUGCGCCGCGGGAGGCCGAUUGCAAGUGACGACGAGCAAUCGGAACGCAAUAAAAGGUGGGGGAGUGCCAUCCCGAAGUCAUCGGGCUUCUUCCUAUGUCUUAGUGUUUAUCCGUUCACAUGUAGCAUAUUGUAUGUUGCUAUGCAUUAUAGGAUGACAAUACAUGCAUUCCUAAUCCUUAUAUGAUGUUUAUGAUCAAUAUAGUAUUAUGAUAUGGAUAUAUGAUGUGAUGGACAUAAGGAUUAUGAGAUGACAUUGGUAAACCUAUGAUGCUAAAUGAAAGAAGAACCUAGUGUUGUGUUUU